rnacentral:rRNA from 1 species
CCUACGGGAGGCAGCAGUGAGGAAUAUUGGUCAAUGGACGAGAGUCUGAACCAGCCAAGUAGCGUGAAGGAUGACUGCCCUAUGGGUUGUAAACUUCUUUUAUAUGGGAAUAAAAUGUUCCACGUGUGGGAUUUUGUAUGUACCAUAUGAAUAAGGAUCGGCUAACUCCGUGCCAGCAGCCGCGGUAAUACGGAGGAUCCGAGCGUUAUCCGGAUUUAUUGGGUUUAAAGGGAGCGUAGGUGGAUUGUUAAGUCAGUUGUGAAAGUUUGCGGCUCAACCGUAAAAUUGCAGUUGAAACUGGCAGUCUUGAGUACAGUAGAGGUGGGCGGAAUUCGUGGUGUAGCGGUGAAAUGCUUAGAUAUCACGAAGAACUCCGAUUGCGAAGGCAGUUCACUGGACUGCAACUGACACUGAGGCUCGAAAGUGUGGGUAUCAAACAGGAUUAUAUACCCGAGUAGUC